AGUGAACGCUGGCGGUAGGCCUAACACAUGCAAGUCGAACGGCAGCACAGUAAGAGCUUGCUCUUACGGGUGGCGAGUGGCGGACGGGUGAGGAAUACAUCGGAAUCUACUUUUUCGUGGGGGAUAACGUAGGGAAACUUACGCUAAUACCGCAUACGACCUACGGGUGAAAGCAGGGGAUCUUCGGACCUUGCGCGAUUGAAUGAGCCGAUGUCGGAUUAGCUAGUUGGCGGGGUAAAGGCCCACCAAGGCGACGAUCCGUAGCUGGUCUGAGAGGAUGAUCGGCCACACUGGAACUGAGACACGGUCAAGACUCCGACGGGGGGCAGCAGGGGGGAAUUUUGAGCAAGGGGCGAAAGCUUGACCGAGCAACCCCGCGUGGGUGAAGAAGGCCUUCGGUUUGUAAACCUUUUUUGUGGGAAAAAAAAAAAGGCGGGAAAAUCCCCGGCUGUCUGGACGGUACCAAAAAAAAAAGCCCCGGCUAACUUGGUG
rnacentral:rRNA from 1 species